CGGGGCGUGGCUCAGUUUGGUAGAGCGCCUGGUUCGGGACCAGGAGGUCCUGGGUUCAAAUCCCAGCGCCCCGACCA
rnacentral:tRNA from 1 species